rnacentral:lncRNA from 1 species
AUCAAUGCUAUAAUAAUUAAUACGCAUAGAAGGAUUGAAAUCCUAAUUGAACAUGAAAUUAAACAAAGUGAAAAAUCAGGAAGUAGAAAAAUCAACAUGGAAGGAGAAGGUUGAAUAGAAACUUGGAAAUGUGAAGUUGCGAAAUCAAUAAUCAUAGAAGGAUCAACACGGAAGCAGAAGGUUGAAUAGAAACCUGGAAACGCAUAGAAGGAUCGAGAGAGGUUUUUUUCCCGAUCGAUUUGUUUUCAUGUUGAUUGUUUUUUGAUUUUUUGUUUGCGUUUUAGCAUUUA